AAGACUUUAAGUUACAUAAACUAAUAACCUUCAAAGUUAUAAUAAUGCAAAUGCAUAAGUCUUA
rnacentral:tRNA from 1 species